rnacentral:rRNA from 1 species
UACGAAGGGGGCUAGCGUUGUUCGGAAUCACUGGGCGUAAAGCGCUCGUAGGCGGAUCUUUUAAGUCAGAGGUGAAAUCCCGGAGCUCAACUUCGGAACUGCCUUUGAUACUGGGGAUCUCGAGUCCGGGAGAGGUGAGUGGGAACUGCGAGUGUAGAGGUGAAAUUCGUAGAUAUUCGCAAGAACACCAGUGGCGAAGGCGGCGACCUGGUCCGAUACUGACGCUGAGGCGCGAAAGCGUGGGGAGCAAAC